rnacentral:snRNA from 1 species
GUGCUCACUUCAGCAGCCCAUAUGCUAACAUUGGAACAGUACAGAGAAGAUGAGCAUGGCCCUUCUGUAAGGAUAACACAGAUUCAUAAAGUGUUCCAUACUGUUUAU